CAGAGGUGGCAAGCGUUGUUCGGAAUUACUGGGCGUAAAGGGCGCGUAGGCGGCCGCCUAAGUCAGACGUGAAAUCCCCAGGCUUAACUUGGGAACUGCGUCUGAUACUGGGUGGCUUGAGUUCGGGAGAGGAAUGUGGAAUUCCAGGUGUAGCGGUGAAAUGCGUAGAUAUCUGGAGGAACACCGGUGGCGAAGGCGGCAUUCUGGACCGAAACUGACGCUGAGGCGCGAAAGCCAGGGGAGCAAACGGGAUUAGAUACCCCGGUAGUCCUGGCCCUAAACGAUGAGUGCUUGGUGUGGUGGGUAUCGAUCCCUGCCGUGCCGAAGCUAACGCAUUAAGCACUCCGCCUGGGGAGUACGGUCGCAAGGCUG
rnacentral:rRNA from 1 species